UUGAACGCUGGCGGCAGGCCUAACACAUGCAAGUCGAGCGGUAGCACAGAGAGCUUGCUCUCGGGUGACGAGCGGCGGACGGGUGAGUAAUGUCUGGGAAACUGCCUGAUGGAGGGGGAUAACUACUGGAAACGGUAGCUAAUACCGCAUAAUGUCGCAAGACCAAAGUGGGGGACCUUCGGGCCUCAUGCCAUCAGAUGUGCCCAGAUGGGAUUAGCUAGUAGGUGGGGUAACGGCUCACCUAGGCGACGAUCCCUAGCUGGUCUGAGAGGAUGACCAGCCACACUGGAACUGAGACACGGUCCAGACUCCUACGGGAGGCAGCAGUGGGGAAUAUUGCACAAUGGGCGCAAGCCUGAUGCAGCCAUGCCGCGUGUGUGAAGAAGGCCUUCGGGUUGUAAAGCACUUUCAGCGGGGAGGAAGGCGUUAAGGUUAAUAACCUUGGCGAUUGACGUUACCCGCAGAAGAAGCACCGGCUAACUCCGUGCCAGCAGCCGCGGUAAUACGGAGGGUGCAAGCGUUAAUCGGAAUUACUGGGCGUAAAGCGCACGCAGGCGGUCUGUCAAGUCGGAUGUGAAAUCCCCGGGCUCAACCUGGGAACUGCAUUCGAAACUGGCAGGCUAGAGUCUUGUAGAGGGGGGUAGAAUUCCAGGUGUAGCGGUGAAAUGCGUAGAGAUCUGGAGAAAUACCGGUGGCGAAGGCGGCCCCCUGGACAAAGACUGACGCUCAGGUGCGAAAGCGUGGGGAGCAAACAGGAUUAGAUACCCUGGUAGUCCACGCCGUAAACGAUGUCGAUUUGGAGGUUGUGCCCUUGAGGCGUGGCUUCCGGAGCUAACGCGUUAAAUCGACCGCCUGGGGAGUACGGCCGCAAGGUUAAAACUCAAAUGAAUUGACGGGGGCCCGCACAAGCGGUGGAGCAUGUGGUUUAAUUCGAUGCAACGCGAAGAACCUUACCUGGUCUUGACAUCCACAGAACUUUCCAGAGAUGGAUUGGUGCCUUCGGGAACUGUGAGACAGGUGCUGCAUGGCUGUCGUCAGCUCGUGUUGUGAAAUGUUGGGUUAAGUCCCGCAACGAGCGCAACCCUUAUCCUUUGUUGCCAGCGGUUAGGCCGGGAACUCAAAGGAGACUGCCAGUGAUAAACUGGAGGAAGGUGGGGAUGACGUCAAGUCAUCAUGGCCCUUACGACCAGGGCUACACACGUGCUACAAUGGCAUAUACAAAGAGAAGCGACCUCGCGAGAGCAAGCGGACCUCAUAAAGUAUGUCGUAGUCCGGAUUGGAGUCUGCAACUCGACUCCAUGAAGUCGGAAUCGCUAGUAAUCGUAGAUCAGAAUGCUACGGUGAAUACGUUCCCGGGCCUUGUACACACCGCCCGUCACACCAUGGGAGUGGGUUGCAAAAGAAGUAGGUAGCUUAACCUUCGGGAGGGCGCUUACCACUUUGUGAUUCAUGACUGGGGUG
rnacentral:rRNA from 1 species